AGAGGGUUUGAGUGACAGAUGGUGCAAAACCCAGGUAUGACCCGGAUGAGAAAAGCAAAGCUCAAGAGAGGAUGAGUGAUGGGCUCGAAGAUGCACAGUGAGUGACUGAACAAAGAUGAAAACCCAGGGCUGCUGGGUCCCUCGUUCAAUAUUGUCCAAAAUCACUGGAAAGGGAGGAAGCGGAUUUUAAAUUUGACUCUCAUUUGUGUGUGUAUGCAAGUCCUCUCUAAAAGGACUUAGGAGAAGCUAGGGAGAGUGUUUACCUACAGGGAGGAGACUGGACACCGGAAGGUUGUGGAAGGUUGUGGAAGGGUGUGGUAUGGCGUGGGAAGGACACUCUUUACUGGUACUCCUUUGUAUCUCUUGAAUGAAUUAAGGCAUGUAUUACCUCUUUAACAACCAAAUAAAAGUUGAUCCAGUUCUUUCCUUCCUGCAGCCUGUCUUCAGCAUUUUCUCUGGGUACUGGGAACUCAGGAAAGUGAGAGGAGACAAUGGAGACUGCCCUUCUAAGGUGAAGCGCCAGCUGCCCCAGCAACCCACUCAGGUCAACUUGGGGGAGCCUGUGCCUCCAUUCAGGUGCCUCCAGUCUCAAUUACAUGCUGUUUUUAAAGCCGAGUUGAUUUCUCUGCUUGAGAGUUUUCUCUUUGGUCUCACUGGUGUCAGUGGCUCCUGGUUUUUGCUAUUUAUAUGGGAGGGGAAAAUGGGGGAUGUGAGGGCUGUGAUGGAGGCCUGGGGGAGGAAGGC
rnacentral:lncRNA from 1 species